CAAAUGGAGAGUUUGAUCCUGGCUCAGGAUGAACGCUGGCGGCAUGCCUAAUACAUGCAAGUCGAACGAAGUGAAGAUAGCUUGCUAUUGGAACUUAGUGGCGAACGGGUGAGUAACACGUAGAUAACCUGCCUGUAUGACCGGGAUAACAGUUGGAAACGACUGCUAAUACCGGAUAGGCAGAGAGGAGGCAUCUCUUCUCUGUUAAAGUUGGGACACAACGCAAACAGAUGGAUCUGCGGUGCAUUAGCUAGUUGGUGAGGUAACGGCCCACCAAGGCGAUGAUGCAUAGCCGGCCUGAGAGGGCGAACGGCCACAUUGGGACUGAGACACGGCCCAAACUCCUACGGGAGGCAGC
rnacentral:rRNA from 1 species